ACCUGCCCUAUGAUUAAUAAUUAAAUGGCCGCAGUAUUUUGACUGUGCAAAGGUAGCAUAAUCAUUAGUUUUUUAAUUGAGAACUAGAAUGAAAGGUUGAACGAGAAAAUAACUGUCUCAAUUUAAUUUAAAUUAGAAUUUUAUUUUUAAGUAAAAAAGCUUAAAUAAGUUUAAAAGACGAGAAGACCCUAUAGAGUUUUAUAUUUAAAUUUUUAUAUAAAAAAUUAUAGAAUUAUUUUUUUUAUAGAUAUUUGAUUAUUUAAUUGGGGCGAUUAAAAAAUUUAAAUAACUUUUUUUAAUUUUUAACAUUGAUAUAUGAUUGAUUGAUCCAUAUUUUAUGAUUAUAAGAUUA
rnacentral:rRNA from 1 species